AAAAAAAUGACGAAAAUACCCUCAACAAAACAUAAUAAUAUUAGCUUAGAAGAAAAGAGCAAAAGCAAGUGCAACAAAUGAAGAUAAAACGGCGGGGACGAAGACGGUAGCGUCGGAAGCCGGUGCCGGUGCCGGAGCGUCAGCGGCGGCGACGCCUUUCACGGCGGAGAUAGCCAUUAUCGUCAUCAUCAUCACUGCAACAACGAAGAUCUGCAUGUUAAUAGCUUCCAUUUUUUUUUUUCAAUUUUGGGGAAAAAUUUGAGUGAA
rnacentral:misc_RNA from 1 species